AGUUGUCCCCCUGUGUCCCCGCCUUGUCACAGUUAGAGAGCGUUUAGUCAGCUGGGGUCCCCUGGGACCCUCACGAGGAAUUCUGAUCAAGAUGUGUGUGUGUGUGUCUGCGUCACAGCUCAUUUCCAAAAGGAGCUACACAGGCUCCACGCAGAGCUGCCCAGAGACACAGCAGCCAGGUGGGAGCAGAGAGAGAGAGAGGGGGCAGAGGCGGUCAUGGCGGGGUCAUAGGGCCUUGGAGCUCUGAGUGUGGUGGUGAGGGUGCUGCCCAGUGGGUGUAGCGGGGGACAGGCCAGGCCGACCAGGUGGCUUCCAUGUGCAGGGCGGCCUGAGAAGCGGCUUCCAGACGGGACUCCCCAGACGUUCACGUGCCUGUGUCCGUGAGCGGCUUCUCCUGCAGCACACCCGGGACUCUGCAUUUUCAACUAACCGCUGCUGCCCAGGGGCGGCGCUUGCUUGUCCCGCGGCCGCCCUCUUCCAGGUGACCUGAGGCUGAUGUGGAGGCUGCUGGUCCUUGCACAUCUGAGCCACUGGGCUCAGAGCAGCCACAGCAGGCGCUGGGACGUACUGGAAAUGCAGAUUCCCAGGCCCGCCCUCCUGCCUGGGAGUCCCCGUUGUCCAGGCUCCCGGGUGCUUGCGGGUGCCUUAUUGCACACCACGUGCUGGUUGUCGGCCCCAGGAGCGCCGGCUCUCUCUCCCUGCUUCUCAUCACUGCACAGCAGACGGUGAGGAAGGAGGCGCCUGUGUCCCCGCGGUGCCCUGCUGUGACCAGUGUGCUGCCGCCGUGCCCGGCCGAGGCUGUGGCAGCUUUGCUGGCCGGGAGAGGACUCCAGCGCCCUGGAGAUGGCAGUGCAGGAUGGGAACUGAGCAGAAAACUCGCAGCGCCUCCUUCCCUGGCUUCAGCCACUGCUGUGGGCUGCCAGCGCCUGGGCCGGCCGGCCUGCGGUUCUCACCCUUGCACCAGCAGGCGGACCGGCCUCUGCCCUGAGCCGCGUCAGACAGGACAGCCCUGGGGGGACGUCGUGGAAGGGCAGGCUGUCAUCGAUCCCGCUGUAUGUCACCGACAGAUGCAAUGCACAGCAGAGAAAUACGGCUUGAGCGCCAUGGAUAAGUUCAGCUAACCAAAGCCAGAGUUUCUGGGACUUGGUGCCACUCAGAAAGUGCCCUGGGGCUGGUGCUGUGGUGUAGCAGGUUAAAGCCCUGGCCUGCAGUGCCAGCAUCUCACAUGGGCGCCAGUUCGAGUCCCGGCUGCUCCUCUUCUGACCCAGCUCUCUGCUGUGGCCUGGGAAAGCAGUAGAAGAUGGCGCAAGUCCUGGCCGCUGAACCCAUGUGGGAAACCUGGAAGAAGCUCCUGACGUCAGAUUGGCUCAGCUUGGGCCAUUGCAGCCAUCUAGGGAGUGAACCAGCUGAUGGAAGACCUCUCUCUCUCUCUCUCUGUGUCUACCUCUCUUUGUAACCCCGUCUUUCAAAUAAAUAAAAAUAAAUCUUGAAAGAAAGAGAAAGU
rnacentral:lncRNA from 1 species